rnacentral:rRNA from 1 species
UACGUAGGGGGCGAGCGUUGUCCGGAUUUAUUGGGCGUAAAGCGCACGUAGGCGGCUUUGCAAGUCGGAUGUGAAAUCCCUCGGCUUAACCAAGGAAGUGCAUCCGAAACUGCAGAGCUUGAGUACUUAAGAGGAUCGCGGAAUUCCCGGUGUAGAGGUGAAAUUCGUAGAUAUCGGGAGGAACACCAGUGGCGAAGGCGGCGAUCUGGGAAGAUACUGACGCUGAGGUGCGAAAGCGUGGGGAGCAAACAGG